UACGUAAGGGGCAAGCGUUGUUCGGAAUUACUGGGCGUAAAGGGCGCGUAGGCGGCACGGCAAGUCGGGAGUGAAAGGCCUGGGCUCAACCGAGGAACUGCUUUCGAGACUGCCGAGCUAGAGUGCGGAAGGGGCAACCGGAAUUCCCAGUGUAGCGGUGAAAUGCGUAGAUAUUGGGAAGAACACCGGUGGCGAAGGCGGCAUCCUGGACCAAUACUGACACUGAGGAGCGAAAGCCAGGGGAGCAAACGGG
rnacentral:rRNA from 1 species